GGGGAUGUUUGAAGACAUCACCUAUCCACCACUGCCAUCUUUUCUCAUUCUAUCCUCAGAAUUGCCAUCAGCUGGUGUGAGCUGUGGGCCUCCAUUCUGAGAUCAAAGUGUGGAACCUCAGCUCACAGUGCCACAGGAUUCUCCAGGCUGACACCAAGACACCACAUCAAGUACAGCUUUUCAGGACAGAAAGGAUUGCAGUGGUGCUCAAUGCAGUUUGCUCUGAAGAAAACUUGUGUUUUCAGAAAUUGGAAUUCCCUGUCCUGUUGUCUCAGCCUUGUGCAGAGUGUUCUGAAAAAGCAAUUAUUUAUUUAAAAUCCUGAAACAAGAAAAAUUUUUUUUUAAUCUUUGCAUUUGCACUUGAUUGCAAACUCCUAUUGAAGAUUUUUAUAUGAAUAGAGCAUCUGCUGGAUAUCCUGUCCAGAUGGAAUCUCCAGUAAAGGACAUACUCAUCUCUAUCAUUCUUGUCAGCAAGUAACCAGAAGGAAGAGAUUUAUAAAGCAGAUGUCAGAAUGUCAAAUCUGCCUUCAGCUGAUUUUCUAACUGAUUUCUGUAUUCAUGCUCGUGUCCAGUAGGAUCUUGCAAAGGUCAGUGUGAGUGGAGACAAUGGUGGGAUAGUUCUCCAGCCAACCUUCAGAGGACCUAUGCAAAGCCAGGAAAGACCCUUUGGAGUCCUGCAAGGUUCAAGUAGGCAGAAGGAUCCACCCUCCCCAUGGGCAACAGAUAUUUUUUUCAAGAUUAAAUGUUUCAGGAACAGAGAUGGAUAACACCAGACAUUCUAAAUAGCAUCAGGUUUUGCUGUGGUGUCUCUGUUCUGGAGUGAAAUGAGUAUUUAACUAAAUUAAAUGAGCUUUUCACUGAAAUGAAAACAACAGGCCUCCUUUUUAAUUCAAGAGAAGGAAGCUUCUGCAAAGCAACCUAUAGGGGUUCCUUUUACCAUAUGUUGGAAGUUCUCCAUUAUACAGUGAUUAGGGCACGGUUUCUCCUGCCUCAGUCUCUCUGCCCUUUGCACACACUGGAGGGAGGAUGCGGUGCCUCAGCUGGGGCAGCCCCAGGAACAGGCUCUGAGAAGAAUGGAUUGAAAGCAGCCCUGGAGAGAAGGACUUGUGAAUGUUUGUGGACAAGAAGCACGAUGUGACCCAAUAAUGUGCCCAGAAAGCCAGAUGUUUGCUGGGCUGCAUCAAAAGAAGCACAACCAGCAGAUCCACCCUGACCUGGAGUGAAAUGGUUUGGGCUGGAGUCAGAGCUAUGAGCCUGGGAAUGAAGAAUGAGCAUGGGAAUGGGGAAGAAGGGAAGACAUGAGAAUGCAAUAUGAAAAGGCUGGCAACUAGGGCUGUAAAGCCAUUUUUGAGGGAGAAUAUGGAGAUGAGCAGAAAAUGAAAGUUAUUCCAGCUAUUUCCCCUAGGGAAAAGUAUGAGCUAAAAAUGAAGAUUUUCCCAUCUGCAAGCUGAAGUUUGCCUCACCCAUCUUUCAAAUGCUAAAUUGGGGUGGGAAAAUCAGCAAAAUUUCUUGUCAACAAAACAUUUUAAUAUGAUAGUGAUCAUAGGUAAAAUAAUGCUCUUGUUGAAAGUGUUUUUGUAUCAGCAGAAACAAUUUGUUUUUAGAAGAAAACAAAGCCACUGAAAGACAAUAGGUCUCUUAAAAACUUCAGUGUCUCAGGCUUUAGGAAAACAGGAAGCAAAUAUGGACAGAAUUCCAUCUCAUUUUCAAUGAUGAAAAAAUAUUAUCAAGGGUGAAAAACAUGCAAGUUAAAAGAUCUGGAAAAGUUAUUCAGAUUGAAUAACUUAACAGCUUAUCUAAAAUACUGUCUCCCACAAGAAAAACAGCUUUCCUAGUUUUCUAAUUUUUCUUGGAAAAAUUUAGUCAAGGUAUUAUCUCCUGAUACCCCUUUCUUUUUUCAUUUUUUUUUUUUUGGUUACUUAACAGAGUCACAGAAGCAGAAAUGAUGAAGUUUUAUCUUUAGAACUAAAAGCUUGCCUUAAUUUCACAGUAAUACAGCAUCCACAUUGAUGUAGACUCUGAAAACAUACUACUGUAGACUUUGUUUUAGAAUUUGGAUAGAUGUUAAGCAAUGUCUGUCAGGUAUUACAAAAAUUUCUAUGUAUGUAAUGAAUAUUCAGGCUUCCUUGUCUAGUACAGGGGCAAUAAAACAGAUCUUUUUCUCAAUUCUAUUAAUAGCAAUGGAAGACUUCAUUGAGCUGGAAGUAAAAAUAGCAUACAUUUCAGCACUGCUCAUCUUGCAAUGCUUUAGACUACCUGCAUUUAAUGCAUACUGUCUCAGCUUCUAAUAAAGAUGCUGCAAUCAUUGGUUUUGA